GAUGAACGCUGGCGGCGUGCUUAACACAUGCAAGUCGAGCGAAGCACUUAAGUUUGAUUCUUCGGAUGAAGACUUUUGUGACUGAGCGGCGGACGGGUGAGUAACGCGUGGGUAACCUGCCUCAUACAGGGGGAUAACGGUUAGAAAUGACUGCUAAUACCGCAUAAGACCACGGUACCGACUGGUACAGUGGUAAAAACUCCGGUGGUAUGAGAUGGACCCGCGUCUGAUUAGGUAGUUGGUGGGGUAACGGCCUACCAAGCCGACGAUCGGUAGCCGACCUGAGAGGGUGACCGGCCACAUUGGGACUGAGACACGGCCCAGACUCCUACGGGAGGCAGCAGUGGGGAAUAUUGCACAAUGGAGGAAACUCUGAUGCAGCGACGCCGCGUGAAGGAUGAAGUAUUUCGGUAUGUAAACUUCUAUCAGCAGGGAAGAAAAUGACGGUACCUGACUAAGAAGCCCCGGCUAACUACGUGCCAGCCGCCGCAGUAA
rnacentral:rRNA from 1 species